AUUGAACGCUGGCGGCAGGCUUAACACAUGCAAGUCGAGCGAGCGGCGGACGGGUGAGUAAUGUCUGGGAAACUGCCUGACGGAGGGGGAUAACUACUGGAAACGGUAGCUAAUACUGCAUACCAUCAGAUGUGCCCAGAUGGGAUUAGGUAGUAGGUGGGGUAAUGGCUCACCAAGGCGUCGAUCCCUAGCUGGUCUGAGAGGAUGACCGGCCACACUGGAACUGAGACACGGUCCAGACUCCUACGGGAGGCAGCAGUGGGGAAUCUUGGACAAUGGGCGCAAGCCUGAUGGAGCCAUGCCGCGUGAGUGAAGAAGGCUUUCGGGUUGUAAAGCACUUUCAGCGAAGAGGCGUUACUCGCAGAGGAAGCACCGGCUAACUCCGUGCCAGCAGCCGCGGUAAUUC
rnacentral:rRNA from 1 species